GGAGGGUGCAAGCGUUGCUCGGAAUCAUUGGGCGUAAAGGGUGCGUAGGCGGCUUCUUAAGUCUGACGUGAAAGCCCAGGGCUUAGCCUUGGAAGUGCGUUAGAAACUGAGAAGCUUGAGUGCCGGAGGGGAGAGUGGAAUUCCUGGUGUAGCGGUGAAAUGCGUAGAUAUCAGGAGGAAUACCGGUGGCGAAAGCGACUCUCUGGACGGCAACUGACGCUGAGGCACGAAAGCGUGGGUAGCAAACAGGAUUAGAUACCCUGGUAGUCCACGCUGUAAACGAUGGACACUAGGUGUCGGGGGUAUCCACUCCCUCGGUGCCGCCGCUAACGCAUUAAGUGUCCCGCCUGGGAAGUACGGCCGCAAGGUUA
rnacentral:rRNA from 1 species